rnacentral:rRNA from 1 species
AACGCGUAGGAAUGUACCCCAAAGUGAGGGAUAAGCACCAGAAAUGGUGUCUAAUACCGCAUAUGGUCUAAGGAUUAAAGCCUUCGGGCGCUUUGGGAACAGCCUGCGUAAGAUUAGCUAGUUGGUGAGGUAAUGGCUCACCAAGGCUACGAUCUUUAGCUGGUCUGAGAGGAUGAUCAGCCAGACUGGGACUGAGACACGGCCCAGACUCCUACGGGAGGCAGCAGUAGGGAAUUUUCCACAAUGGGCGAAAGCCUGAUGGAGCAACGCCGCGUGCAGGAUGAAGGCCUUCGGGUCGUAAACUGCUUUUGUUUGUGACGAUUAUGACAGUAGCAAAUGAAUAAGGGUCGGCUAACUACGUGCCAGCAGCCGCGGUCAUACGUAGGACCCGAGCGUUAUCCGGAAUGACUGGGCGUAAAGAGUUGCGUAGGUGGCUUGUUAAGCGAGCAGUGAAAUCGUACGGCUCAACCGUACGGCUAUUGCUUGAACUGACAGGCUUGAGUGCGAAAGAGGUAACUGGAAUUCCAAGUGUAGGAGUGAAAUCCGUAGAUAUUUGGAGG